CUGAGAUAAUUAGUACAAUCAAAUACUAUGAAGAAAUGUAUAUAAAGUAUAUACAUUUUGUAAUUAAAAUCAAUUAUUUGAUCAAAAAUAAUAAAUAGCGAAUAUAUACUUGUAUAUUAUACAUUAUUUUUAUAAAAAUCAAAUCAUUAGUUCGUUUCCACACUAUCUAUGAAAUAAAACUCCCAGCACUGCAUUUCUUCAUAGUUUUUUCCUACAGGAGAAAAAUUUCUUUUUAUAUUCAUUAAUAUUUUUAUAUUAUUACUAUUACUAUAUAAUAUACAACAGUAGUAUUCAACAUUAUUCUCCGCUUGUGCCUUGUAAUUCAUAUAUUGUCCAUACCUGUCGCUGCAGUCGCACAGGUAUCAUUCUAUAUAUAUCUUUUUAGAAUGACGCCAUCUAUAAUAUAAAGUGGAGCUUUGUUGAAGUUUAUUUCUAACCUAACUAAAACGCAUGAUCGAACCUUGAGAUAUAAACGUGUAAAAUUAUAAAGAAUAAAAUAGUUGGAAUAAGGAAAUGAGUGAUGUCGAAUUACAAGAGGAAGAAAGAGAAGUGUUACUUUCUAUUUAUGAGGGUGAUCCAGCAUUCAAUCAGUUAACACCUACUACCUUCCAAUACAAGUAUGGAGAAGAUAAUGACAUGAAGUCAUUCCUAUUGGAAAUUUCAUGGAGUGCGACAUAUCCAUCUGAAAGGCCAAACAUCAAUAUGAAUACAUUUUACAAUAAGCACAUUGUGCAAGAAGUAAAGGAUGAAUUAGUGAAAAAAUUAGAAGCAGAAGCAGAUCAAUGGUUAGGUAGUGCCAUGACAUAUACGUUGUUCCAGUAUGUUCAAGAGCAUCUUACAGAAUUAUUAUCUAUGCAACCAGAUUCUAUUGCAGAAAUAAAUUCACAAACCAGUAAACUUAAAAUAUCAAAUGAGAAUCAACAGGCGGAAGAAGCUGUAAAAAGGCCAAAGAAAGAACAACUAAGCAAAGCUCAAAAACGUAGACAAUGGAAUAAAGCAGAUGGAAAAGGAGAGAGACCACGAGGGUGGGAUUGGGUCGAUAUAGUGAAACAUUUAUCACAAACUGGUCCAAAACAGGAACAAGAGUCUUAGUUCAAAUUUUCUAAGACUACUGUACAGAUUUAAAAAAAGGUUUCCCCAAAAGGAAAACAGAUUCUUUUUUAUUAAUUUCUGCCGCAUCAAGAACGGUUUCAUGAAUAAGAUAAUAUUUAACUAACAAAGCAAGACGAUCUUCAUUUAAUGUGUUUAACCGUAAAGCUUUAACUGCUGAAUAAUUGGCAUAUAAAUGCACUGCCACCAAGAAGACAUAUAAUUCUAAUAAAUAUCUGUAAAGAAAAAAUUCAUACACGACAGUAAUAAAUAAUUUAUAGAAGAGUAAAUCAAUAAAAUUACCGUCCAUCAUAAAUGUACGACAGUAUGAAAAUUCCAACAAAAGAUGCAACAAGAUUAACACAGGUUUCUUGACUUCCAUCUUUAGCUGAUACAUCUGCCAAAUUGUUUUGAAACCUGAUGUUGCGUUAAUGCAGCUCUGGUUGCACCACCGGCUACACCAACAAUAGACUUCAUUGCGGUUGAAGCACACAAUAUGGCCAUUGAAUGAGCUGAGAAAUAAGUUCAAGAUCCUACGAAAUCCGAGAAGCAGAAGAUAAAUCACCAUUCCAAACUAGGUAGUAUAAAUAAGAACAAAAAAAGUGAAAAUGAGGAGAUAUUGUCGGGAAAUAAAAAGAAAUCAAAUUUAUCGUCAGUUAAUUCCAACAUCGGAUGUGCGGGAACACGUGGAAAAAUUCGAAAACAAUCAACGAAUGUUCGUGUGUCAGGGAACUCAGACCGAACGAAAAAGAAGUAACAAUCUUACGACGAAAGAAAGAAAUUUUAAAUACGACGUUUUUGGGAAAAUAUUGAAACGUUUAGGUUAUUGCAUUUUGGACGAUCGAACUAUAUCAUUUAUUGAUCGUUACUCGAAUGAUAAAACAACAUAUAGUGCUCUACGUAAAGUGAAGAGGUCGCCUUUUAUCAUUAACGAAGUACCGAAGACCGACGAAAUUCUUCCUUCCAUUAAUAAUGUAAUUAUUUGUAAAGAUUUUCCAACGAAUGAUGUUGCUGGUUCAAACUUGGACGAUAAUGUGUUUACCAUUUGUAAGAUUAUCAAAAAAUUCAAUGGGAUUGAUAAAUUAUCGAAGAUCUUUAAUAUGUCCUUGAAGGAAAAAGGUUUCUCUGAAAUCUUACGACGUAACAGUCGAUCAACUAAAACAGGAGAUAAUUUAAACGAUCAACUGUACUUAACUCUCGAUAGGGAUUUACGAUUGGAAUCGCUCGAGGCGAUUGAAACGAAAACGUCUCGUAAGAAGAGACAUCCUUUUAAAUUUCUUCGUAAAAUUUGUAUCUGUAUAAAUAUCUGAAGAAAAUGAUCGAGGGGAUAUUUCGAAGUGUCCGAUUGAUUUGCUGAUUGAUUAAAAAAAAAAAAAAAUGAGUAUAUAAAAAUCAAUUAAAAUUUUUGGAGCCGUUUGAUAAGUUUGAAAGCGCCAUCUAGAAAGGCGAUGACCGUGCGAACUACAAGAGGAUAUUCUCCCUGAUGAUAGGCUAUAUUGAUGCACGCGUGUACGUAUGGAAAACUUGUAUGCGUAAAUGCAUACAGGUAUAUGCAAUGCUUUGUUACAAAAAGUAUAUAUUUAUCUUAUCAUGAGAAAUAUGUUUUUCAUAGAAAAAUAAUUAAAACUCUUGUAUAAAAUUGAUAAAAUUGAAACAAUGCGUGUCGUCGAUAAAUUCUUUGAAAAAAUUCAUAACGUUGUCUGUAAAAAGAAAAAUAACAAAUAAAAAAAAAAAAAAAAAAAAAAAGAAAGGAAAGAAAGAAAAUAAUUUAAGAAAAAGAUCGAAGAUCAUGAAUCGAGAAAAUGAACGGAUUGAUUAAUUCAAUUUCAAUUUCUUUUAGGUAGGCAUUAGAUCGAAAUUGAAUAUAGAAAUUGAAAUGAAGAGGAUAUAGUUGAAUGCACUGGAAUAGCGCGAAUAAACGAUCGAGACGAGAAGUUAGAGGUUCGAAUCCAGCGUCGUUAUCCCCUCCGUUCGUUCAGACCCUCUCGUUUUGCAGUCAACGACUCCACGGAUGGUGGUGCUGCACUUGCGUGCACACUCGUGGAUCGAGGACUACGACGGCGUUGUGCAUACAGAGACGCAAUAGAAAGGUGCAAGCUAUUUCUCAGAGUCCAUAGAACGACAUAAAGGCGAGCUGAUGUACGACGAUCGAUCGAUAAGUCGAAUUUAGAAGAGAUUACGUAACAACGUUAGAAUUUACAGAACCAAUUCGCCGAUCGACUUUUAGCUUACGAAUGCAUUUAAUUUAAAAUUCCGCAUAAAGCUUUACAAUUUAACUGAUUUACCUGAUAAUAAUAAUAAGACACUAGUUGCUACUCCAUAACACUAGGGAGUUAUUGGUAAUAUAGCAAGAUCCAGACAUAUACAGGUACACGGGCAUACACUUGUUAAGAGGAUCGUUCUACAACAAGAAGAAAGAAAAAUAAUGGAGACUGGCUAGGGACCAACUAAAGACCGCGUAGUACUUAUCCGUAUACUUAGCAAGAUCGUUUUCUUUCAACACUCAGCCUCGAUUCUUUAUAUCCUGUCCUCCUUCAUCCGGUCAAUCUCCAUUUCAGGAAGAAGAAGCCUCAGAAGUAUUACCUCUUUUGAAAAAAUAUCGAUAGAAAUAGCGAUGGUCGUUUAAAAUGGGGGAAAAAAAAAAAAAAAAAAGAAAAAAAAAGAUCAGAAAGGAAUUUCAAUCCCCUUUUACCUACGAAAUACAUACUUACAUACUUUUCUCUCGUCAUCCUGUUUUCCUCUUUCCUCUCGUUACCUUUUGUCUCCUUGUCGGUCUUCUUCCUACGUAUAUCCUCCCCACUCUGAUAUAUCCCACGAUCCCUCUCUGUCUCUGGCACUUCCUGUGUUCCGCCACGUUCACCUGUCCGCCGGCACACCGUCACCACAUCGCUACCACACCACCUGCCUUCGUAAAAGCACCUAGGUGCAAGGCACAAGGCGAACGUGGCUAAGCUAUGUCCUAGGGAGUAGAGACUUUAGUUUCGUGGUAUAUCAGUUCUCGUAUCGCCUACCAACAACAAGUGUGUGACUCUCCUUGUGUGCAACAGAGGCUUAACUUAUUCUACACCUCUCUAUCUCUCUGGAAACUCAACGCAGUCAAUGUUAAGCUACCGUUGACUUCGGUCACUCAUCGCGAGUUUUCCCUUUCAUCGAAGAUAACUACUCGUACUAUUCAAAGAUCAAUCAUAUAUAUUUUGGUAAUAUCUUAUCUCUCUCUCUCUCUCUCUCUCUCUCUCUCUCUCUCUCUCUCUCUUUCUCUCACUCGCUUUCUUUACUUCUAAAUAUAUUCGGGCACAUGCAAUCGUGGAUUCCAAACGUGCUUUUAUUGGCUUAAACCACUUGUUGCGUCUCUCGAGAGCCUCGGUACAUAUGCAUACUUUGUGUUGCUUUCCUGACGUUCGAUAACAGUAAGGUUGUGAUCCAACGACAAUUUUCCUCGACAAGUGGUAAGUUUAUUCGUUGAUACUUAAGCUAAUAUCUAAGCAAUCAUGAUUGCAUUGUUGAGAUAUAUUGAAUCUACGGAUUUUUAUUAUUAUUAUUGUUGUUGUUGUUGUUGUUGUUGUUGUUAUUGUUGUUGUAGGAAUUGGAGAACGUUGGAUUUAUUAUCAAACGAGAUAUUUAUUAUUCAACUUUUCUGUGUUUCCUCACAACGAAAAUCAUAGACUCGCUUUAGGAUGACAUCCAAUUAUCUUGUUCGGUAAGUCAAUCUUUUCAUAAUUCGUUAUUCACAUUUUGAAGUUUGAUCAUCGCGUUAAAUAUUUAUCCGUUAAAUAUUUUCACCAAGAAAACUUUCGAUUACAUUAUCAACGAUAGCAGAGAGAGAGAGAGAGAGAGAGAGAGAGAGAGAGAGAGAAAGAGAGAGGAAUACUGAGACUAUAAUCAGAAAAUCUCCGAGGAGUCGAACGAUUCGAUUUGAAACACAAAUUCAAUGGAUUGAUAUUCGUGUCAGGUAGAAAAGCUAUCGGAUCAAUGGACACCUUGUAAAUGUGUAAGCGAACACCGGAUCAGUCUUCGCGUACACGCACGUUAAAGUUUUCUUCUUUUGAAUUUGGAUACCGAUACUGGAUACUAAUCGAUACGAAUGCGUAGACCGUAGAUAAAAUUAUAAAUAAAAUUCUCAAGUUUACUAAGGAGAGAGAGAGAGAGAUGUUGUCAGACUAAUGUAAGAUGAAUCAGAAUAGAUAAGAACUUGGUAUUUAUUUUUAUUUCUGGCUAUAUUUGAAACAUCUUUUUUGAAAUAGUUCUGCAUUUGUGACUGUAGAUUGUAAAUGCGAUAACCUUAAGAUCAUUGCGGAAUAAUUCUUUGAUAAUAUCGUUCGUUACCUUCAUUUCGUUACAAGUAGCAAACAUAAUUAAAAAUGAUAACGGGAAGGAGGGCAAACAUUGAAUGCAAUUAAUGGUAGCUGGUGUUAUCUCAAGUUUGUUGUAUUGUACAUAUGAUGCAUAAGAAUCGUAUGAGACGACUUUUGAACUUCGUUCUUUACGAUGGAGAUAAUGCUGAUGGUUAUUAUUAGUAUUAUUAUUAUUAUUAUUAUUAUUAUUAUUAUUGUUAUUAUUAUUGUUAUUAUUAAAUUCAAGACUAGUAAGAUUCUAUAAAAGGAAAGCCUAAAGAGGUCACACGUACCUAUUUACACACGCCCACGAAACUGUUUACCUAUCUAGCAAAGCAGCCUCGCGGCGGCUACCAUAAACGCGACCGGCCACGUUAUUGCCGUUUAUCUAUUUCUGUCUCUUAAUACAUUGCUUACGUACCUUUGGAAUUUGCUGGUAAAUACAUAAAGAAGCAAAAGGAUUCUGUGGCCGAGCAAAGAUCAAAAUAAUACAUAAUCUUUCGGACUUUUGGAGAAAAAAAAUUUGACGUUUCCUUCCGAUAGAUGUACUUUCGUACGUCUUUUUUAAUUUAAUUUUAAUUUAACAAUACGCGGGCAAUGACUAUUACGAAUUUCUUUUUUUUUUUUUUUUUUAACAUUAUAUUAACAAUAUUUAUAGAGAUCUUUCUUUUUUCUUUCUUUCUUUAUCGACAUUGAUUUUUCUUUCUUCCAAAAGUCAACGUAAAACGUAAUGAAUCUAUCGAGUAGAAAUUUAAAAGAGAAACAUAAAGAAAGCGAAAAAAAAGGACAGAAGGAAAUCCCAAAAAAAGAAAUGAUAAAAAAUUCUUGAGAAAAGUUGAGAAACAAUAAGAUGGUAAAGGAGAAGAAGAAGAAGAAGAAGAAAAAGAAGAGACUUCCUCAGCGUCUGACAUUUGCUUGCCAUUUGUUUCCUGCACGCUCGGACGUUUCUACCUCGCAUACGAAUUAUAAAAGAAUUAUUGCGAAAGGAGAGAAUAUACAUACGUAGAUGUACACACACACACACACACACACAGAAAUCCGAUACCAGAAUCGAUAAAAUUCUUUCGGUCGAAAGAAAAAGGGAGAAAAUUUCAUCGUCGUGAAACGACGGAAUGUCGAAUCUCGAUUUAAUACAAACGUAUUAUAUAGUCCUAGGAUUUCCAAAGAAAAAUGUUGUUGGACCUGUAGAAGAAGAAGAAGAGGAAGGAGGAGGAGAAGAAGAAGAAGAAAGAAAAAGGCGAAUUCUCGAGCGAAUUCACCUGAAACGAGGCCAACUAACUCGUCGAAUGAUACUUCAAGCUUAAUUGUUGGUAGUUAUAUAGAAAUCGAAAUAGUUUAUAUACUCUACGAACGAUAGGAAUGUAGAGAAAAGUAUCUUCCUGAAUUGACAUUUUCCUGUUGCUCGCCUCCGUGGCCGUUCACACGUGCCACGCGUUAAACUCUUGUAUUUCAAUAGUAUUCAUCUACCCUGUGUCCGAUUGCGGAUCGAUCUCUAUAUUUAUAUAAACCUUAGAUUUAGAUAAAUACGUCGUUUUAUAAUUUUCGACGAUUAGUUAUUUGAUUGUGAAUAUACAUUAAAAAAAAAAAAAAAAGAAAAAAAGAAAAAGAAAUCGAAGGAAAUUUCAAUGAAAAACUUGAUCGAGAUAGAUGGAUAAAAUUGGAUCUCUUAUGUGGAUGUGAUUAGUUGUUGAAUCGAGACACUCGGUAUCAACGAGCAAGCCAAUCUUUUCUCGAACUCGACUUCUAGCAAACUUUCUCUCAUCUCCCCGCAUGGGGAUCUAACGUAAGUAAAUGUUUUUUCCUUUUGAUAAAACUUUGCAAAACUUUUUUCUUUUACGUUUCAACGUUCGUAACAUACAUGAUAGUUAUUAUUUGAAUAUUUCGAUAUUUUAAGGAUCAUGAAAGAAGAAAGAUUAGAAUUGUUUCUUUGGCAAAGUCGAUCUCCCUAUCGAUCAUCCGCAUAAUUGAGUAAAAAGAUGACUGAAUUUAAAGGAUCACGAUCGAUUAUUGUCGAUCGUAUGCGUUAAGCACGUUUGCUUGCAGUUAUCCUUGCAGCUGCCUGCAAGCCCGUAGAGAGCCAGGCACAGGCAGCCUCUUGACAGCUGCAGCUUUUUCCAUCUACACUGGUUACUCUGGUUUUAAUGCCGUAACUCCUUCGCUCCAGGCCAAUACCACUCGAUAUAUAGUGUAUGUUAUCUGUUAAGAAAAAUGAAAAAAAAAGAAAAAAAAAAAAAGAAAAAAAAAAGAAACAGACGAGCUUCAGAUGGAAAUAUGGUUUCAUCUUUCGGCUUUUUCUUUUGUUAUAACUGUGCAUAAGUAUAAGAACCCACGAGAUAUAUCGUGAGAUUAUUUAUAAGAUUAUCUUGCUUUCAUUUUACGUAACAUAAACGAAUCUAAAUUUUA